UACGUAGGGUGCAAGCGUUAAUCGGAAUUACUGGGCGUAAAGCGUGCGCAGGCGGUUUUGUAAGUCUGAUGGGAAAUCCCCGGGCUCAACCUGGGAAUUGCAUUGGAGACUGCAAGGCUAGAAUCUGGCAGAGGGGGGUAGAAUUCCACGUGUAGCAGUGAAAUGCGUAGAGAUGUGGAGGAAUACCGGUGGCGAAGGCGGCAUCCUGGACCGGCAUUGACGCUGAGGAGCGAAAGCCAAGGGAGCAAACGGG
rnacentral:rRNA from 1 species